rnacentral:lncRNA from 1 species
AACCUUUCAACAAAAAGAAGAUAGAAAUUAGAAUUUGACAACAUAAUCAUAUAGACAUUUUCAGAAAAGAAAAUGAAUAGAAUUCAGUGCAUUACAUAGAGAAAAGGGUACAAAAAAUGAAAUAUACACGAUCAUAAGAUUGCGAAUGGAAAUGGGAAUGUGUCAAUGAGACAACAACCCAAACAUAGAGCGCAGACAUCAGCCGAAGGCCAUGAAUGGGUCUCCAAUGCAGCGAGAAACUCCCGCACCCGGAGGCAUCCUCCAGCUAGGCCCCUAAACAAAUAUGUAUACUAGUUCAGUGAUAAUGGACGUCAUA